rnacentral:lncRNA from 10 species
GACAGGAGGGACAGGUAACAAGAAGCAAGGCCUGGUGGGGUAGGGUGUAGGAGGAUUGGUUGGAUAGGGGGUGCAGACCUUCAUUAAUAACCAGAGAAGGGCAAAUGCCAACCUUCAUCGGUGAUGCCAUUUGUGGCCCCUCAAGAUUGGCAAAGACCAGAGUGACAGGGUGGUGUGCACUGAGGCACUGUUCACAGAGGGGUGGAAGUGGGUCUCUCUGUGUGUAUGGUGGUAGUGUGGUGGGGAUUUCUGUUGCACUCCCUGCCAGCCUAGAGGUGGGGUGCGGGGGUUGGGAAAUUAAACUCUGCCGUUAGUUGAGACCCUCACGUGACCAGGAGCCAAGGUGUGAGUAAAUUCCUCUUAUUCAGAUCUCUUUUAUUUUUGCAGCACUCCUCUUUUCUGUUGAGACAGGCUAGUGUCUGGCCCAGAGGAUGAGGGGGAGAAAGACACUUUCCCAGAAUGGAGCAGGUAUGGGAGAAGGGCAAAAACCUGGAGGGAAUAGAGGAGUGAAUUAGAGCAAAGGUGAGACCUUUUUACUCAUCCCCCUAAUUCGGGAAAACACGGGUACUGGAAUGAACAGUACACAUUCAGUAUUUCCUCCCUUUUUUCUCCAAGGAGUAAUUGCAGUCAAAGAGGAAAAGGGAAAAACAACUUUCAACAUGGAAAAUUCCCACCAGGAAAAUGAAGAAAGCAUUCAUAAUGUAGAGGAAGAGCUACAUUUGGAAGAAAUUGAAGGCCAGGAAGCUAGAGGAAAUAAUCACCAGGAACAAGCACCACCUACCCAGGAAGAUGGAGACGGGAAGAAAAAAGGUAUAUUUGUGAGCCAAUCAGCAAACAGCUUCUCUCAAGCCUCCGAGAGAUUUCUGGAGACACACCAAGUAAACAUUACAGAUGCUACUAAAGCAGAAUGAGAGUGGGCACCUGCCUACUAUCCUGGCACGUAACUUUCUGAGGAGGUGGGCUUUCUCUCUCUCUACACACACACACACACACACACACGCAUAAACACACACACCUAAGAUGAAAGAGGCAGGGCAGCCUUUGUUAAAGGCCACAGAAGAGGUCAAGGCCCCAUAUGCUGUGCAUCAAUGACCGAAAUGGAAGAGAUUGCUUCUAGUUGGCAUGAUCUCAGACACUCUAUGUUCAGGGUUGGGCCUUAAGAAAUGAGUAGUGCAAGGAAGAGGAAGCCAAGACAGAGAAGGGGGAGAAUGGAACUCUGCUUCAGAAUACCCCUAGGUCAACCCUUAUUAGGUCUUCCUUAACAGCUUCCUUCAACCCUUAUUGGGUCUUCCUUACCAGCUAAAUCAACUCCUCUUCCCCUAUAUAAGUGAGGCUGUUCCUACUUUGUUUGAAGAUCCAUAACAACCUGCCUCAAGGUCCCUUGUAAGGAAGACCAAUUGUCCUCAUUCCCUCCUCGUUGUCCCACAGAUGUACUUAUUUUCUCUAAAUCUACAAUUAGAAUCAAAUCCCAGGAUGCUGGAGUGUGGGAAAAUGGGAAGAUUGAAAUUAGAAAAUCAAAUAGCUCACACACCAGAUAAAUUACAAACUUUUUAAUAUUUAUAUUGUUAUAAUGGGAAAUAUAACCUUACCUAUUUCAGC